rnacentral:rRNA from 1 species
GCCUUCUGCUUAACCUCAGUUGAAAACUGUUGCUGCGCGCCCUAGCAGGUCUCGUCUGGAGCUCACAAACUAAGCAAUAUCAGGCUUGGUUACUACUUGGGUGGGAGACUGCUUGGGGAUUCUAGGUGCUGUAAGCU